AGUGAACGCUGGCGGUAGGCCUAACACAUGCAAGUCGAACGGCAGCACAGUAAGAGCUUGCUCUUACGGGUUGCGAGUGGCGGACGGGAGAGGAAUACAUCGGAAUCUACUUUUUCGUGGGGGUUCACGUAGGGAAACUUACGCUAAUACCGCAUACGACCUACGGUUGAAAGCAGGGGAUCUUCGGACCUUGCGCGAAUGAAUGAGCCGCCGUCGGUUUAGCUAGUUGGCGGGGUAAUGGCCCACCAAGGCGACGAUCCGUAGCUGGUCUGAGUGAAGGAUAGGCGACCUUGGAGCUGAGCCACGGACAUGACUCCUACGAGAGGCAGCAGUGGGGAACAGUAGACAAUAGGCGCAAGCCUGGUACAGUCAGAGCGAGUGGGUGAAAAAGGCCUUCGGGUUGUAAUGCCCGUUUUUGGGUAAAGAAAAGCAGCAGGUUAAUACCACGCUGGUCUGACGGUACCCAAAGAAUAAGCACCGGCUAACUUCGUG
rnacentral:rRNA from 1 species